rnacentral:lncRNA from 1 species
CAGUCAUGCGCCUCACCUUGGAGUGUCGUGGCAAAGAUUUUGCACAUGAGAGUAUCAUUGUUGCCAUAGAGGGUCAUGGUGCUUUGGUAGUGCAUUAGGUAUCUGUCCGGAUCUUCAUCUCAUUUGAACAUGGCGACAUGUGGGAGGCUAAACUUCUAUGAUGGCUCCAUCUACUCAAUCUCAUCUGUAAAUGGUGACCUUCUCAUGUUGGCCACGUCUCUAUGAAGUGCAACAUCGGUAGUUUCAAUGCGCUGGAAUCCACAUAGCUGCUCUACUACAAGCCUUUGUACUUCCUCCUGGAUUUGAGCAUGGUGAGGCAGUAGAGCCUCUGGUUACCCCCAGUGUUGACCUGCUAGUUUAUAAUGCUAUUUUGCAUGUUAUGCUCGUUUAUGUCACGGUCCCGGUGCAUGUGGUUCAUUAUGUGCUGCUCGCCGUUGAACUUGGCGGAGGCUGCCAGUGGAACUUGAGCUAGACUGCUCUCAUUCUCUCUUUAGUCCGCCAUGUGGUUGCCUACUCCGGUGCCUCGCAGGAGGAUCUCCUUGGGGGUUUAGCCUCAUGUGGACGUUUCGCUUGGAAUAUGAGUACUCGUUGGAGUGUGAACCCAACCUGGAAUGCACACUGAUUCAUGUGCCAAGUCAAGAAUGAACACUUCUCUGGGCAU